rnacentral:tRNA from 1 species
AAAUGAAGGAUCAUUCCAUCCACCCCUAA